CAGUAGCCACGGGAAUACGAAGGGGGCUAGCGUUGCUCGGAAUUACUGGGCGUAAAGGGAGCGUAGGCGGAUCGUUAAGUUGGGGGUGAAAGCCCGGGGCUCAACCUCGGAACUGCCUUCAAUACUGGCGAUCUUGAGUAUGAGAGAGGUGUGUGGAACUCCGAGUGUAGAGGUGAAAUUCGUAGAUAUUGGGAAGAACACCGGUGGCGAAGGCGGCGACCUGGUCUUUUACUGACGCUGAGGCGCGAAAGCGUGGGGAGCAAACGGGAUUAGAUACCCCCGUAGUCCCUGUCUCUUAUAC
rnacentral:rRNA from 1 species